GACGAACGCUGGCGGCAUGCCUAACACAUGCAAGUCGAACGGAGAUUAUUUCGGUACUCUUAGUGGCGAACGGGUGAGUAACGCGUGGGCAACCUGCCCUCUAGAUGGGGACAACAUCCCGAAAGGGGUGCUAAUACCGAAUGUGACAGCAAUCUCGCAUGAGGAUGCUGUGAAAGAUGGCCUCUAUUUAUAAGCUAUCGCUAGAGGAUGGGCCUGCGUCUGAUUAGCUAGUUGGUGGGGUAACGGCCUACCAAGGCGAUGAUCAGUAGCCGGUCUGAGAGGAUGAACGGCCACAUUGGGACUGAGACACGGCCCAGACUCCUACGGGAGGCAGCAGUGGGGAAUCUUCCGCAAUGGGCGAAAGCCUGACGGAGCAAUGCCGCGUGAGUGAUGAAGGAAGUCGUUCCGUAAAGCUCUUUUGUUUAUGACGAAUGUGCAGAUUGUGAACAAUGAUCUGUAAUGACGGUAGUAAACGAAUAAGCCACGGCUAACUACGUG
rnacentral:rRNA from 1 species